rnacentral:rRNA from 1 species
UGAGGAAUAUUGGUCAAUGGACGCAAGUCUGAACCAGCCAUGCCGCGUGAAGGACGAAGGCCUUCUGGGUUGUAAACUUCUUUUAUUGGGGAAGAAAAUUAUGGUUUCUACUAUAACCGACGGUACCCAAGGAAUCAGCACCGGCUAACUCCGUGCCAGCAGCCGCGGUAAUACGGAGGGUGCAAGCGUUAUCCGGAUUCACUGGGUUUAAAGGGUGUGUAGGCGGAUAUUUAAGUCAGUGGUGAAAUCUCUGGGCUCAACUCAGAAACUGCCAUUGAUACUAUUUAUCUUGAAUAUCGUUGAGGUUGGCGGAAUAUAUCAUGUAGCGGUGAAAUGCAUAGAUAUGAUAUAGAACACCGAUUGCGAAGGCAGCUAACUAAACGAUUAUUGACGCUGAGGCACGAAAGCGUGGGGAUCAAACAG